CUGUGAAGUUUGAAGAGCAAGAUGACUUUGAGUCAGAGAAGCUUUGGCAACAAGUGACAAAAGCAAUAAAUAAUAAAGACCAAACAGAAGCUACUCAGGAGAAGUAUAUUCUGGAAGAAGCUCAGAGAAAGAGUGCCAAAGAGAGGAAACUUAAGGGUGAAGAGUGGACAUGCAAGCUGUUCGAUCAGGAUUCAGUCACAGGAGAAUGGCACUACAAAUAUGCUGAGUGAGUCCUGGAGUGCUUGGUAAUGUUGCUGAGCCUCUUCCUGUGGUUUCAGCAACAAAAGAACUAAUACAUAUAGCUUAUUUACAUAUGGUGA